AAUCAACGCUGGCGGCGUGCCUAACACAUGCAAGUCGAGCGAGAAAGGGUAGCAAUACCUGAGUACAGCGGCGCACGGGUGAGUAACACGUGGAUAACCUGCCUCGAAGUGGGGGAUAACACCGGGAAACCGGUGCUAAUACCGCAUAAUCUGACGAGAUCUGCGGAUUUUGUCAGCAAAGGAGCAAUUCGCUUUGAGAGGGGUCCGCGGCUGAUUAGCUAGUUGGUGAGGUAACGGCUCACCAAGGCAACGAUCAGUAGCCGGUCUGAGAGGACGGUCGGCCACACUGGAACUGAGACACGGUCCAGACUCCUACGGGAGGCAGCAGUGGGGAAUUUUUGGCAAUGGGCGAAAGCCUGACCAAGCAACGCCGCGUGGAUGAUGAAGUAUCUCGGUACGUAAAAUCCUUUCGACGGGGACGAAACCGCAAGGUUGACGGUACCCGUAGAAGAAGCCCCGGCUAACUCCGUGCCAGCCGCCGCUGUAAUAC
rnacentral:rRNA from 1 species